rnacentral:rRNA from 1 species
CCUCUCGUUUAGAUUGAAGGAGCUUGCUCCUGAUUGAUAAACAUUUGAGUGAGUGGCGGACGGGUGAGUAACACGUGGGUAACCUGCCCUAAAGUGGGGGAUAACAUUUGGAAACAGAUGCUAAUACCGCAUAAAACCUAACACCGCAUGGUGUAGGGUUGAAAGAUGGUUUCGGCUAUCACUUUAGGAUGGACCCGCGGUGCAUUAGUUAGUUGGUGAGGUAAAGGCUCACCAAGACCGUGAUGCAUAGCCGACCUGAGAGGGUAAUCGGCCACACUGGGACUGAGACACGGCCCAGACUCCUACGGGAGGCAGCAGUAGGGAAUCUUCCACAAUGGACGAAAGUCUGAUGGAGCAACGCCGCGUGAGUGAAGAAGGUUUUCGGAUCGUAAAACUCUGUCGUUGGAGAAGAAUGUAUCUGAUAGUAACUGAUCAGGUAGUGACGGUAUCCAACCAGAAAGCCACGGCUAACUACGUGCCAGCAGCCGCGGUAAUACGUAGGUGGCAAGCGUUGUCCGGAUUUAUUGGGCGUAAAGCGAGCGCAGGCGGUUUCUUAAGUCUGAUGUGAAAGCCUUCGGCUCAACCGAAGAAGUGCAUCGGAAACUGGGAAACUUGAGUGCAGAAGAGGACAGUGGAACUCCAUGUGUAGCGGUGAAAUGGCGUAGAU